rnacentral:rRNA from 1 species
AAUUAAGCGGAGGAAAAGAAACCAACCAGGAUUCCCCCAGUAAGGGCGACUGAAGCGGGAUGAGCUCACAGUGUGAAUCGGCGCCAAAUAUUGGGCGUUGAAUUGUGGUCUGUGGACGUGGGCGUUCGUUGCGCCGGGCCAAGUUCCUUGGAAAAGGACAGCCGAGAGGGUGAUACUCCCGUUUGCCUGGCCAUCGAGCCCGCGUCGAAGAGUCGAGUUGUUUGGGAUUGCAGCUCUAAGUGGGUGGUAAAUUCCAUCUAAGGCUAAAUAUUGGUGGGAGACCGAUAGCGCACAAGUACCGUGAGGGAAAGAUGCAAAGGACUUUGAAAAGAGAGUUAAAGAGUACCUGAAAUUGCUGAAACGGAAGCGAAGGAAACCAGUGUCAAGCGAAGUCAUACUUCCCCCUCCGCUUGCGGUGCGGGGCGCUGUGGCCAGCGUCUGCCAGGCUUGGUUGGAUCGACCGGAUGCCACAUUGUGGUGCGGUUGGCUCGACCGAGUCCUUGGCGAAAUGGUUUUCUUUCCCCCGUCUUGAAACACGGACCAAGGAGUUUAACAUAUGUGCGAGUACAGGGGAUGGUAAUCCCCCGUGCGCAAUGAAAGUGACAGUGGCUGGAUUCCUGCAGUUGUUGUGGGUUGCACAGUCCGCCGGCCCCAAUCCCCCGGGAGACUGGUCUGAGUGUGAGCACACAUGUUGAGACCCGAAAAGAUGGUGAACUAUGCCUGAGUAGGGUGAAGCCAGGGGAAACUCUGGUGGAGGCUCGUAGCGAUUCUGACGUGCAAAUCCGAUCGUCAAAUU